CCCUGGGAUCUUCCUGCGCUGAAUGGGAAAUGGUGAUGGCGGCUUUGAUGGACAUGUGUCGAUUCAACCAAGAGUGACUAUGCAUAUGGAUUAUCAUAAAACCUGCAGGGUAUUAAUGGCUUUCAAUCCCAUCUCUUCCCAAGAUACCCUAGUUCCCAUGCCUAAAGCACACCAUGAUUAAAUAGAGAACAAUCGUGAUGACGACACUCCUCCGCGACUCAACGUCCCACUCUUCUCAGAUUGUCUUUUCCCUUCACCGUACCAGAGUUCUCCGUCACCGGCGACGGAGCUCCCAAAUUGAAAACGAAACCAUCAAUCCCUUUAUUUUCCUCCAUAGGUUCCGAAUCUCCAAUACAAACGCCAUAAUUAUCAACCAAAUAGUUCGAUCGGAUGCGAACCUACCAGAACCCUAGACGGACUUCCUAAGAUUCAACAACAAUCAUCAAGAAUCGGAGCCUCUAAUCAUAGGACUUUGAUUCACCGUGAACAACUCUAUGCUAUUAUAGGUUACAUCGAAGCAAAUGGUGGAAUCGUUUACUUACCUCGCCGGAGAAUAUGAUCUGAGUGACGACGACGACGACGGUGAAAACGAUAUCGUGUUGGCUGCUUGGGUACAAUUUUGGCAUAGGCUUGACAGAUUUGUAGCUUUUGCCGAGCAUCUUAUCCUCCCGGUUCCAUUUGUACCAUCUUGAGUGAUAAAAUUCCUAGCUUGCAACCAAAUCUUCACCAGCAGCAUCUCUGGAUCCAUUGCCUGGGGGUGACCCUGCUAUCCUGUCGUUCAUGCUGAUAAAUGAGCCUAUAUCACUGACAACUGCCCCUAAAGCUACAAGGGUUAAUGAACUCACUCGUCACUCUAAUUAGAUCAACCGUUGAUUUUCCUGAAGGGGGCGCUAAUGCAUUAUCAUGAGCACCAUCUGGACUGGUGAACUCUGCCAGUAAAGGAGAGGUUGAUAUUCUCGGAGUUCCGAUGGCAAGUGAUUGAGUAGGUGCUGCUGCAGCCGCAUCCCCAACUUGUUAGUGUCCAACAUCCGAAAUUGAUAAAAUACCAGAAAUGAGCUUUUCAAAAAUCUCCUGGCAUAGGAGAUGGAGCUAAGGGAUGUGAAGGAGUGGGGACUAUAAAAGGUGAGUUAGCAGGUUGCAGUUUCACUUUUGCAAUUUCAUGUUCUGUAUUUUCUUUCAUCUUUCUUGGACUUAGUUACGUUAGUUUUGCUGGAGUGAAGUCCGUGUUAAUGAAAAAACCAAACGACAUUCCCCUAUGCUUCUCAAUGGAAUGUGCUUCUGUAAAUCAGGGCAUAUGACAUUAAAUCUCGAGUACAAGGUGAUUGGCAAAAAGGUGCAGUAGUGACACCCAACAGUUUAGUGAUUGCAUCCAAGAGGUAAUCUCGAGUACAAGCCUUGACAAUCUCAGAGAGAAAAUACAUUAUCAGCAGGAUUUCCACUGUAAUCACUAAGUGUUGAGAGGAAUGUUACAAUAUGCAUUGAUAGCUCCUUCUACGUCGAGCUUCUGAAAUCGAGUAAUCUCCCUUUUGAUAGCACCUUCUUUGAGAGAGGAAUAAAUCUGCAUUUGGGCUUUAUAUCCAACUGAUAGACUGUCUAGUUCCUUGACUACCAUGACAGAAGAUUGAAUGGUCCGUCAUGAUAAGAGUAAGAUCAUAUUUCUUAUUCACCUGGGAAACACCAACUCGUUAGGCAGGAUGCCGACUAUCGAAGUUCUUCUCAAUCGUCUUUAGGAAUUCCUGAAGAGGAAAUGAAUCUAUGCGUUUCUUUCUAACCGGGGCGCUUACACGGUGACAGAGCCGUGGUAUUCAUCAUUUAUGGCAAUGCUGAUGCCUUCCUUGGAGACUUGCACAUACACACAAUUUUCCCGACAUAAGAAGGAGAUGAACUAGUGUACGAGACAACAAUAUUAGCAGUACCUUUAUUUUUGUAAACCCCGUCUCACCAGCCACUCAUUCUGUAUACGGUAUUGUACAAAGUCUCAAAAAUAAUAUCUACAUGGUGUAAUAUGUAGUUUUUUGGAUCUUGUGGUUUUGAAUAUUGUAUUGAUUCAUUUUUUAUCAUUUGGAAAUAUUAAUGCCUUGUGUUUGGUUCUAUAGUUAGAAUGGUUGUAGUUGGAAUUGGGAAUUUACUACUAGAAUGUAGUGAAAAGAAUUGACUCAAUGUAUUGUGUAUGGAAUUGAUUGGUGAAUGAAUUUUGUAUGGUUUAUGAUGCUAAGUUAGAAAUGUAAUUUGGGUUCUUGGA